rnacentral:rRNA from 1 species
UACGUAGGGGGCAAGCGUUGUCCGGAUUUAUUGGGCGUAAAGAGCGUGUAGGCGGCCAGACAGGUCCGUUGUGAAAACUCGAGGCUCAACCUCGAGAUGUCGAUGGAAACCGUCUGGCUAGGGUCCGGAAGAGGAGUGUGGAAUUCCUGGUGUAGCGGUGAAAUGCGCAGAUAUCAGGAAGAACACCUAUGGCGAAGGCGGCUCUCUGGGACGGUACUGACGCUGAGACGCGAAAGCGUGGGGAGCGAACAGG